GAGUUACACGAAUAAAUUGGACAAAAUCAGUAUUCUCCAAAUUACCAGUUCCAAAUAAAUACAGCAAUUUUCAUCCUUAAGGGAAUGUUGGCUGGAAUUCUGGCCCUGGGCUUUUGAAUACCAUGGUUUAAAAAGGAUUGGCAAAACAAAAAGGAAAGAGAUUAUAUUGGCUGUGAUCAUUUUGUUACCUGCCAUCUGUCCAGUAAAGUCUUCCCAUUGCUUUUUUGGGAUACUGAAACUCAGGGAGCCCAAGAGACUUCUCCAAGUUCACAUGAAGCUGAAUCCUAACUGAGUAUUACAUCUCAUGGGAUCUACAGAACCAUAAAAUGCCAAGAAUAUAAGGAUUUGCUCUCACAUGAAGAACACAUAUUCCCAGUACUUAGCACAGGCCCUGAUACAAUAAAUGCUCCUUAGAUGAUUGACUGAACUAAUAAGUAAAUGAAUGCAUGUAAAUAAGGAUACCAGCAAAUCUGCAAGUGGGUAGGAUUUCAGUUAUUAUAUAUGUGUACUCUUUUUUAUUUAACAUAUUAGUUACUAAAUACAUGUUGCAACAUAAAAUAGUAAUUGUUUAUUACUACCUACAUGAGUGGUAUAUUUGUUUUUCUACAGUCGAUUUUUAGGGCUAAACAAAUAACUUUAAGUUCUUUUUAGCCUAUGGCUAGAUCGUAAUAUGAUGUAUUUCAAAGUGUCCAUAGGCCUUUAAAGUGAUGGCUAAAGAAUCUCUCAAGGCAUAGAAAUAGAUAAAGCCCUCUCUUAAAAGUAUUCUGCUCACCUUUCUUAAAAAAAUGGGAGGGGUUAGGAAACGUGGGGUUUAUUGAAUCAAGCAAAGCCUCAAUCCCAUAGUAACUUAUUCAGGGGUGAUACUGAUCAAUAGAGUCAAAGACAUACGCAUCUAACUAAAAUAAACAGCGACUUUCUUAUCCUCAAUAGAUUCUUCAUGAGUUCCUAUAGAUAAGAACACAAACGAGAUUUUUCUUUACAGAUAUUUUGUUUAUUCCUAUUAAAUAUGCCUCAGGAGUUCUCUAACGUUAAAGUCCUCAGUGCAUUCGACUGUGUUGGUUGUUUUUCUUAGAAUUGUCAGAAUUUGGUCAGGUUCAAAAAACCUAUUGGUUAGGACAUCUAAAUAAUUAGCUACAGAUCUUUGAUAUAAAGAUAACAGAUAUAGUUAUGUACAUUAUCUAAGAAUUUAACAAAUGCUUUUAAAAUGUAAUUUUGUUUUAUAAUUAAAAUUUUAAUCAUAAGGCA